GCAACCAAUCUAGGGACAUGUGGUCUCCAAGGGGGAGUGUUGUAAAAAAGGAUAAGUAAAGAAGAAUAGGUGAAGCCCACAUAGCCAACUAACACCCACCAAACCUAACCACACACCCACCAAACCAAACCACUACCUAAUUGAUUGAAGAAUAUUAAUGAUGUUGUUGAUUGAAGAAUAUUAAUGAUGUUGUCUACCAAAUAUAUUGUGAGGUGAACAACCAAUGUCUUAG
rnacentral:lncRNA from 1 species